AUACGAAGGGGGCUAGCGUUGCUCGGAAUGACUGGGCGUAAAGGGCGCGUAGGCGGUUUAUGCAGUCAGAUGUGAAAUCCCCGGGCUUAACCUGGGAACUGCAUUUGAGACGCAUAGACUAGAGGUCGAGAGAGGGUUGUGGAAUUCCCAGUGUAGAGGUGAAAUUCGUAGAUAUUGGGAAGAACACCGGUGGCGAAGGCGGCAACCUGGCUCGAUACUGACGCUGAGGCGCGAAAGCGUGGGGAGCAAACAGGAUUAGAUACCCUGGUAGUCCACGCUGUAAACGAUGUGUGCUGGAUGUUGGGUAACUUAGUUACUCAGUGUCGAAGCUAACGCGCUAAGCACACCGCCUGGGGAGUACGGCCGCAAGGUUGAA
rnacentral:rRNA from 1 species